UUUAAAAAAGGCUUUAUGAAGAAAGCACUUUAAGCUUUUCCAGUGAUUUAAGAUGAUACCGGGGAAGGUUUUCCGGUUUAUCCCGGAGGGCUUGUAGCUCAGUUGGUUAGAGCGCGCGCUUGAUAAGCGUGAGGUCGGAGGUUCAAGUCCUCCCAGGCCCACCAAUUUAUGCUCGUUUUUUUGCUUAUUCCAAGAGGAUAAGGUUAAAGCGUAUUUAAAGUCUCUUCAAUCUUUGUUUGUUGUAAAGAUUUUAUUUUAUUCUCCAAAGAUUGCUGGUAAAUUUAUCCUAUUAAGUUCUCAAAGAGGAUUUUAAAAUCCCUUCAAGGGGAUAGGAAAAUUUAAAUGUUGCAAAUCAAAAUAGUCAAAGUCAUUCAAGGUGAUGAGUUUUCUUGAGGUUGAUUUGAAAGAGCAUUAUUUAGGGGCCGGAGCUCAACUGGGAGAGCACCUGCUUUGCAAGCAGGGGGCGGUCGGUUC
rnacentral:misc_RNA from 1 species